AGCUGACUGUGUCUAAAGGACCAACUCAAUGCUGGUUUUAUUAAGCCUUUCUUUGUGCUGUCCCUGGACUUGGUAUACAGCUGAAAAGAAGAAGCUCCAUGAGCUGGUGUUUCCUGAAGUAGAAGAAGAGCCUGGAAAACUCAGCCAGAUUUCCUCUGCUGUGCUGAAACACUGCUUACUAACCUGACCUGGAUGGAGCCCUGGACAAGACAAGAGAGGAGCCACAAGGCCACUAGAAGAAUGAGUCAAUGGUGGUGAGACCCUAUUGUUGAAGACACCACACAGGUUGAUCACAGAACAUGGAGAAACCAAAAUGGCUCAGGAUCUACUGCAGAAAAGGAGGUGGAAAUAUUGUAAGAGGCUGGGGAAGAUUUAAGUGAAAGUCUUCUGGACAUGACUGCUGCACUCAUGAACUCAGAACAGCUGUGGUUUCCUGCACAUGAUCAAGCCAGUCAACAGUCUAGCAUGGAGUGGGAAGGGGUUCACGAGCCCUCACCCCUAACUGAGGAGCUAUGAACAACCAA